GCCUGGGUGGCUCAGUCGGUUGAGUGUCCGACUUCGGCUCAGGUCAUGAUCUCACGGUCCGUGAGUUCGAGCCCCGCUUCGGGCU
rnacentral:tRNA from 1 species